rnacentral:rRNA from 2 species
UGGGGAAUAUUGCACAAUGGGCGAAAGCCUGAUGCAGCGACGCCGCGUGAGGGAUGACGGCCUUCGGGUUGUAAACCUCUUUCAGCAGGGACGAAGCGCAAGUGACGGUACCUGCAGAAGAAGCACCGGCUAACUACGUGCCAGCAGCCGCGGUAAUACGUAGGGUGCAAGCGUUGUCCGGAAUUACUGGGCGUAAAGAGUUCGUAGGCGGUUUGUCGCGUCGUUUGUGAAAACCAGCAGCUCAACUGCUGGCUUGCAGGCGAUACGGGCAGACUUGAGUACUGCAGGGGAGACUGGAAUGCCUGGUGUAGCGGUGAAAUGCGCAGAUAUCAGGAGGAACACCGGUGGCGAAGGCGGGUCUCUGGGCAGUAACUGACGCUGAGGAACGAAAGCGUGGGUAGCGAACAGG